rnacentral:rRNA from 1 species
CCCUUAGAUGUUCUGGGCUGCACGCGUGCUACAAUGGCGCUUGCAACAAGUCUUGCCAACCCGAUAGGGUGAGCGGAUCUUUGAAGAGGCGUCGUGAUCGGGACAGUUGAUUGCAAUUAUUCGACUCGAACGAGGAAUUCCUUGUAAUCGCGAUUCAUCAUAUCGCGCUGAAUACGUCCCUGCCCUUUGUACACACCGCCCGUCGCUCCUACCGAUUGAGUGGUCCGGUGAGGCUUUGGGAUCUGGAUGGAAAGAGCGUUUCGCUGUUUCUGCCCGGAAAACUCAGUCGAACCUUAUCAUUUAGAGGAAGGAGAAGUCGUAACA